rnacentral:lncRNA from 1 species
UACUGGCUAAAAUUCAGUGGUCAUUCAUUAAACUGUAGAAUAGGUGAUUGCAACAUGCCUAGAGGUUUCUAACUUUUUUGUUUGAAUUCUAGCACAAUCUUAGAACUUUCACCUAUAUAAACUUUCCACAUAUUUUUUAAAACUUAUAUUCAAAUAAUUAUAGAUUCACCAGAAAUUGUAAAGAAGUUUUUUAGAAAAUCUCAUGCACCCUUCUUGCUGCUUCUUGUCAACAUUUUACACACCUAUAGUAUAACAUCAAAACCAAUAAAUUGAUGUGGAUACAAUCUGUAGACCUGGUUCAGAUUUCACAAGUUAAGUAUGUACACACUAGUGGGGUGUAUAUGUGUGUGUGUGUGUGUGUGUGUGUGUGUGUUUAAGUGUGUAGUUUUGAGCAAUUUCAUCCCAUGUCCAGACUUGUAUACUAACAUUAUAAUCAAGGUUACUCAGCUGUGAUGGUUCCUUAUAGGAUUCCUUUAUGUUGCCUCUGUAACUAUCCAUCUCUUCCUCUCCACCCAUCCCUAAAUCCUGGUAGCCAUUAAUCUGUUUUUCAUCUUUAUAAUUGUUAUUUCUUAAAUGAAAUCAUUCAGUAUCCUUUGGAAACUGACUCUCUUCAUUUGGCAUCAUUUCUUUGAGGCUUCUCGAAGUUGUAUGUAUUAAUGGUUUCUUUUUAUUUCUGAAAAGUAUUUUAUUUACUUUUUUUUUUUUUAACAGUACUUGAAGUUGAACUCAGUAGUGUUUUACCUCUGAAAAACAUCCCUAGCCUUUGUCUCUUUAACUUUUUUGAGGCAAAGUCUCAUUAAAUUGUCCAAGCUGUCCUUGAACUCAUGAUCCUCCUACCUUAGCCUCCCAUGUAGCUGGGGUUACAGGCAUGCACAACCAUGUCCUGCAGAAGUAUUUGUUAGACAUGCCACAGUUUUUUUUAGUAACACAUUUAUUGAAGGAGUUCAGUUCAUUUAGUAACAGAUCUAUUGAAGGAGUUCUUUCUAGUUUUUGACUCUACUCUCUGAAAAUAAGUCUUCCUUUCCCUGGGAAAAAUGUCUAAGAUAACAGGUGCUGGGUUGUAUGGAAAGUCCAUUUUUAGUUUUGAAAGGCCUUGUUUUCAUAGUAACCGUGCCAUUAAAUCUUCCUGCCAGCAAUGAAUGAGUGAUCCAGUUUCUUUCCAUCUUUGCCAGCAUUGGUGUUCUUGUUUUUUCUUUUGUUUUAGUUGGUCUGAUAGUUACAUAGUCUGUUAAUUUUAUAGCACAAUAUAAGUUGUAAUAAAAUAAAAUACUGGAGGGUCUGGGGUUAUAGCUCAGUGGUAGAGCACUUGUUUCACACGUGUGAGGCACUGGGUUCGAUCCUCAGUACCACAUAAGAUGAAUAAAUAAAGUAUUGUUUCCAUCUACAACUAAAAAUAUUAAAAAAUAAAAUAAAAUACUGGAAUAAUUACAUGAAUACUGUCUGAAGAGGAUGAAGUUGCCAAACUGCAACUGCUGAUUCCAACCUUGAAUCUUGAUGUGAUGUGAGUGCCAACAGUUUUAUAAAUCUGACUUCAGCUCAAAAGAUUGAGGGAUGUCAUAUUGUACAAAGGUUGUAAAAGUUGAUGCAAGAACCUCCUGUCAUAGCUUCAGAAUAGAGAUGUAUGUUUUUAGUUAAAUGAAUUUUGUGUCUGGCCAGAACAGUGAUUUACUGACAUGUAUUCAGUAAUAAAAGCACCAGAGUUAAGGUGACUUGGAAGCAUUGAGUAUAUUGGCCUCUUAGCCUCAGUCCUAUGUGGUAGGCUGAGUUUGAGUCUAGUGGAAUAACAUGCCCCUUAAUUGAAAGCCAGCUGCUUCAGUUGGUGCUUGACUAAUGAAAUAACAAUCUCUUCUACCUCUGGAGGAAACCCCGACAUUCUUGGAAUUAAUGAAAUAACAUGUGAUUGCAUAAGUUGUACCUUCCUGCUGGAUUAAGAAAUAUAAGAAAUUGGGAUGAUUUCCAAAUUAACCUUGUAUUUACCCUUUAUUUGAGAUACAUGCUGUCUUUUAAAAACCUAACCCCCCAAGUAAGAGGAGUACCUUGUAUAAGCAAAACAGUGUGUUGUUUGUUUAUUUGUUUGGCAUUGGGGAUCGAACCCAGGGCCUUGUGCAUGCAAGGCAAGCACUCUGCCAACUGAGCUAUAUCUCAAGCCCCAAGCCAAACAAUGUUUUGUGUGAGUUCUCUUCAGUGGCUUGGCUAUUUUGAGCAAUGUUUAAGGGAGAGAUUUGUGGAAUAAAAGAAAGGUCUAUUUCUGCUAAAUUUCAGGUGAGGGCCCAGGGUCAGACUAUAAUAUUAUUGCUUCAGUUUUCUCUGCUGUGAAAAUGAGAGCCUUGAACUGGUGGGUAUCCAGACCCUUCAUGCCCUGACUGGUGGCGUAGAGCGUUACCAAAACCAAGAAAGUGAAAGGAAUGCCUGACUGCUUAUUUAGAUCAGAAGUUAUCAGGUUGCUUUCCUGCCAUUGGCUUCUGAAGGACUGAAGUUGAUUUCCGAAUUGUUAGAGCUGCAGGGAGGGAACCUGACCUGAGCCAAGACAGGUUGUAUCAGUGCUGCUUAUUUUUUCUCUCUCCCAAUGGUGGAAGAGUGAUUCUACACCACAAAAGUCCAAAGUUCUCAAUGAAAGCCUUUAAAACUUAAAGUUUUUUCAAAGUAUAAUGUUUUAUCAUAAAUCUUGGAAAUUUUCCUUCUCCAAUAUAUUGUUAUUGCAGUAUUUCCCUAUAAAUUAUUGAGAAAGCUACAUGUGGGUUUGUAGCUCAUGCCUGUAAUACUGUGGAGGCUGAGGUAGGAG